rnacentral:rRNA from 1 species
UACAGAGGGUGCGAGCGUUGUCCGGAAUCACUGGGCGUAAAGGGCGCGUAGGCGGCUUGAUAAGCGUGCGGUGAAAGCCCGGGGCUCAACCCCGGGUCGGCCGUGCGAACUGUCGAGCUGGAGCACUGUAGAGGCAGGUGGAAUUCCGGGUGUAGCGGUGGAAUGCGUAGAGAUCCGGAAGAACACCGGUGGCGAAGGCGGCCUGCUGGGCAGUGGCUGACGCUGUAGAGCGAAAGCGUGGGGGAGCGAACAGG